rnacentral:rRNA from 1 species
CGUAGAUGAACGCUGGCGGCAGGCCUAACACAUGCAAGUCGAGCGGUAGAGAGAAGCUUGCUUCUCUUGAGAGCGGCGGACGGGUGAGUAAUGCCUAGGAAUCUGCCUGGUAGUGGGGGAUAACGCUCGGAAACGGACGCUAAUACCGCAUACGUCCUACGGGAGAAAGCAGGGGACCUUCGGGCCUUGCGCUAUCAGAUGAGCCUAGGUCGGAUUAGCUAGUUGGUGAGGUAAUGGCUCACCAAGGCGACGAUCCGUAACUGGUCUGAGAGGAUGAUCAGUCACACUGGAACUGAGACACGGUCCAGACUCCUACGGGAGGCAGCAGUGGGGAAUAUUGGACAAUGGGCGAAAGCCUGAUCCAGCCAUGCCGCGUGUGUGAAGAAGGUCUUCGGAUUGUAAAGCACUUUAAGUUGGGAGGAAGGGCGUUAACCUAAUACGUUGAUGUCUUGACGUUACCGACAGAAUAAGCACCGGCUAACUCUGUGCCAGCAGCCGCGGUAAUACAGAGGGUGCAAGCGUUAAUCGGAAUUACUGGGCGUAAAGCGCGCGUAGGUGGUUCGUUAAGUUGGAUGUGAAAUCCCCGGGCUCAACCUGGGAACUGCAUUCAAAACUGACGAGCUAGAGUAUGGUAGAGGGUGGUGGAAUUUCCUGUGUAGCGGUGAAAUGCGUAGAUAUAGGAAGGAACACCAGUGGCGAAGGCGACCACCUGGACUGAUACUGACACUGAGGUGCGAAAGCGUGGGGAGCAAACAGGAUUAGAUACCCUGGUAGUCCACGCCGUAAACGAUGUCAACUAGCCGUUGGGAGCCUUGAGCUCUUAGUGGCGCAGCUAACGCAUUAAGUGACCGCCU